GACGAACGCUGGCGGCGCGCCUAACACAUGCAAGUCGAACGGAGCUUUGAGAGCUUGCUUUUAAAGCUUAGUGGCGAACGGGUGAGUAACGCGUGAGUAACCUGCCCUGGAGUGGGGGACAACAGUUGGAAACGACUGCUAAUACCGCAUAAGCCCACGGCCCGGCAUCGGGUUGAGGGAAAAGGAUUUAUUCGCUUCAGGAUGGACUCGCGUCCAAUUAGCUAGUUGGUGGGGUAACGGCCUACCAAGGCGACGAUCAGUAGCCGGACUGAGAGGUUGAACGGCCACAUUGGGACUGAGAUACGGCCCAG
rnacentral:rRNA from 1 species